GAUGAACGCUGGCGGCGUGCCUAAUACAUGCAAGUCGAGCGAACGGACGAGGAGCUUGCUUCUCUGAUGUUAGCGGCGGACGGGUGAGUAACACGUGGAUAACCUACCUAUAAGACUGGGAUAACUUCGGGAAACCGUAGCUAAUACCGGAUAAUAUUUUGAACCGCAUGGUUCAAAAGUGAAAGACGGUCUUGCUGUCACUUAUAGAUGGAUCCGCGCUGCAUUAGCUAGUUGGUAAGGUAACGGCUUACCAAGGCAACGAUGCAUAGCCGACCCGAGAGGGUGAUCGGCCACACUGGAACUGAGACACGGUCCAGACUCCUACGGGAGGCAGCAGUAGGGAAUCUUCCGCAAUGGGCGAAAGCCUGACGGAGCAACGCCGCGUGAGUGAUGAAGGUCUUCGGAUCGUAAAACUCUGUUAUUAGGGAAGAACAUAUGUGUAAGUAACUGUGCACAUCUUGACGGUACCUAAUCAGAAAGCCACGGCUAACUACGUG
rnacentral:rRNA from 1 species